GCCCACGGGUAUACCACCCUGAGAAUGCCUGAUCUCCUCCGAUUGUGGAAGAUAAGCAGGGUCAGGCCCGGUUAGUACCUGGAUGAGAGACUGCCUGGGAGUACUGGGUGCUUUUUUUU
rnacentral:rRNA from 1 species